rnacentral:rRNA from 1 species
GAUGAACGCUGGCGGCGUGCCUAAUACAUGCAAGUCGAGCGAACAGACGAGGAGCUUGCUCCUCUGACGUUAGCGGCGGACGGGUGAGUAACACGUGGAUAACCUACCUAUAAGACUGGGAUAACUUCGGGAAACCGGAGCUAAUACCGGAUAAUAUAUUGAACCGCAUGGUUCAAUAGUGAAAGACGGUUUUGCUGUCACUUAUAGAUGGAUCCGCGCCGCAUUAGCUAGUUGGUAAGGUAACGGCUUACCAAGGCAACGAUGCGUAGCCGACCUGAGAGGGUGAUCGGCCACACUGGAACUGAGACACGGUCCAGACUCCUACGGGAGGAAGCAGUAGGGAAUCUUCCGCGAUGGGCGAAAGCCGGACGGAGCAAAGCCGGGUGAGUGAUGAAGGUCUUCGGAUCGUAAAACUCUGUUAUUAGGGAAGAACAAAUGUGUAAGUAACUAUGCACGUCUUGACGGUACCUAAUCAGAAAGCCACGGCUAACUACGUG